rnacentral:lncRNA from 1 species
AAAUCCGACUUCGUGAAGAAGCCUAUUCCUGAGUCAGGGCUUAAAGGGAUCUUCAAGAAGUUGCUUAAAGAAGAUAAUCCAAUGAUGAUAUGGAAUCCUUACGGAGGAAUGAUGGCGAAAAUCCCUGAAUCACAGAUCCCGUUUCCCCAUAGGAAAGGAGUCAUAUUCAAGAUUCAGUACGUAACGAAUUGGCCAGACAGUGACAGGAGAGCAAGCAGGCACAUCAAAUGGAUCAGAGAUCUCUACAGUUUCAUGACUCCUUAUGUCUCGGCGAAUCCACGACAAGCCUACGUGAACUACCGUGAUCUAGACCUGGGACAGAACAAAAAGGGCUGUAAGUCGACCAUCAACCAAGCUCAAGUCUGGGGAGCUAGUUACUUCAAAGACAACUUCAAGAGGUUGGUGAAGGUUAAAACAAAGGUUGAUCCAAAUAAUGU